CCCUAGCCUUAGAGAACAGUGAGGCAGUGACUCUCUCUGCUAAGCCAAUCAAAUUAGAACAUUUUAUAAAUGUGAUACAAUAAUAAAAAACCCCAGAAAUGUAUUUUUGUGGAAAACUGAAUUAUGCUGGAUACAUGAAAUAAUUAGGGUUUGAUUUUUCAGUUGUGUGCGACUAGGAUUUGGAAAGUGUGUUAAUGGUAGUUGGAUGGUUGUUUUUCACAAGACACUAGAAUACUACCACAGAUUACUACUGAAAGCACAGCAGUCUGAAUUGCUAAACAACAUAGAAUGCUUCAGGAAGCAAGAGAAGUACUUCGGGGGAGCAGUUAAUACUAGAAGAAAGAACGAACAACUCAAGAAAAACAGAGGAAGAACCAUGACAAACCUAGACUAAACACCAAGACAAAGAACAAGGGCAGCAAACAUUUCAGAUUUGGGAAACUGGUACUACUUUAUAAAGAGAGUGUGCCAUUGUACAUAAGUGCUACUCACUUGCCUUUUCACAUAUUGCAAGAAAAACAUAGCAAGCAUGUAUUUAAAGUAGGAUUUCAUUUCUUAUGCCCCUUCUACUGUAUUAUAUUACUAUCAUAAGUCAGCCUUUCAGGUGCAAAUGUGGGCUGUAUACACAAGUUCACAUGAUCUGGGAGAAUUCUCCCUUUUUUGUCUCCUCGCUGGUAAAAAAAACUCAUCCAGAGACCGUUAGACAGACAUUCAAGUGACAUGGUGCUGAGCACCCAAGGGCCCCUGUGCACGCAUGUCAGCAUGCUCUGCAAGCUCCCCAGUCUGCCUAGCAACAGAUGACAGCGGUGCACAGGGCAGCCCUGAUUGGAUGACUCAGACUGCCUUUCAGGCUGUCUUUUCCUGCAGCACAAUGUAAGGGCUGUGAGGGAGCUUUCUGCUUGGCUGGAGCAGUAGAGUCCAAGCCAAGUAACACACUGUUUCCUCGCACCUGUGGAGGAAGAGGGAGAAGUUGGGAGCAAAACACACUGGGAAACUAGACUAUUGUACUGUAGCUUGUCAGAAGAGGUGUAAGCUUCUGAAGAAUUAUCUACUUACCAUCCUAUUUGGGUAUCGGAGCAGCACUGGUUGCACAGGAACUCCUGGAAUGAAGGCACCUGAAACCAUAAAUCACUCUUUAAAA